rnacentral:rRNA from 1 species
AUUGAACGCUGGCGGCAGGCUUAACACAUGCAAGUCGAGCGGGGUGAUGGUGCUUGCACUAUCACUUAGCGGCGGACGGGUGAGUAAUGCUUAGGAAUCUGCCUAUUAGUGGGGGACAACAUCUCGAAAGGGAUGCUAAUACCGCAUACGUCCUAAGGGAGAAAGCAGGGGAUCACUUGUGCCCUUGCGCUAAUAGAUGAGCCUAAGUCGGAUUAGCUAGUUGGUGGGGUAAAGGCCUACCAAGGCGACGAUCUGUAGCGGGUCUGAGAGGAUGAUCCGCGACACUGAGACUGAGACACGGACCAGACUUCUACGGUAAGCAGCAGUGGGGAAUAUUGGACGAUGGGGGAAAACCAGAUCCAGCAAAGCGGCGUGUGUGAAGAAGGCCUUAUGGUUGUAAAGCACUUUAAGCGAGGAGGAGGCUCUUUUGGUUAAUACCCAAGAUGAGUUGACGUUACUCGCAUAAUAAGCACCGGCUAACUCUGUGCCAGCAGCCGCCGUAA